rnacentral:rRNA from 1 species
AGCGAAAUAUAGUAGCGAAGUUCCUGAUUCCACACUGCCAAGAAAAGCCUCUAGCGAGGUGAGAGGUGCCCGUACCGCAAACCGACACAGGUAGGCGAGGAGAGAAUCCUAAGGUGAUCGAGAGAACUCUCGUUAAGGAACUCGGCAAAAUGACCCCGUAACUUCGGGAGAAGGGGUGCUCUGUUAGGGUGCAAGCCCGAGAGAGCCGCAGUGAAUAGGCCCAGGCGACUGUUUAGCAAAAACACAGGUCUCUGCGAAGCCGUAAGGCGAAGUAUAGGGGCUGACGCCUGCCCGGUGCUGGAAGGUUAAGAGGAGCGCUUAGCGUAAGCGAAGGUGCGAAUUGAAGCCCCAGUAAACGGCGGCCGUAACAAUAACGGUCCUAAGGUAGCGAAAUUCCUUGUCGGGUAAGUUCCGACCCGCAUGAAAGGCGCAACGAUCUGGGCACUGUCUCAACGAGAGACUCGGUGAAAUUAUAGUACCUGUGAAGAUGCAGGUUACCCGCGACAGGACGGAAAGACCCCGUGGAGCUUUACUGCAGCCUGAUAUUGAAUGUUGGUACAGCUUGUACAGGAUAGGUAGGAGCCUUGGAAACCGGAGCGCCAGCUUCGGUGGAGGCAUCGGUGGGAUACUACCCUGGCUGUAUUGACCUUCUAACCCGCCGCCCUUAUCGGGCGGGGAGACAGUGUCAGGUGGGCAGUUUGACUGGGGCGGUCGCCUCCUAAAAGGUAACGGAGGCGCCCAAAGGUUCCCUCAGAAUGGUUGGAAAUCAUUCGCAGAGUGUAAAGGCACAAGGGAGCUUGACUGCGAGACCUACAAGUCGAGCAGGGACGAAAGUCGGGCUUAGUGAUCCGGUGGUUCCGCAUGGAAGGGCCAUCGCUCAACGGAUAAAAGCUACCCCGGGGAUAACAGGCUUAUCUCCCCCAAGAGUCCACAUCGACGGGGAGGUUUGGCACCUCGAUGUCGGCUCAUCGCAUCCUGGGGCUGUAGUCGGUCCCAAGGGUUGGGCUGUUCGCCCAUUAAAGCGGUACGCGAGCUGGGUUCAGAACGUCGUGAGACAGUUCGAUCCCUAUCCGUCGCGGGCGCAGGAAAUUUGAGAGGAGCUGUCCUUAGUACGAGAGGACCGGGAUGGACGCACCGCUGGUGUACCAGUUGUUCUGCCAAGGGCAUCGCUGGGUAGCUAUGUGCGGACGGGAUAAGUGCUGAAAGCAUCUAAGCAUGAAGCCCCCCUCAAGAUGAGAUUUCCCAUUCCGCAAGGAAGUAAGAUCCCUGAAAGAUGAUCAGGUUGAUAGGUCUGAGGUGGAAGUGUGGCGACACAUGGAGCUGACAGAUACUAAUCGAUCGAGGACUUAACC